CGAGUGCUCCAAGCGUUAUCCGGAAUUAUUGGGCGUAAAGGGUGUGUAGGCGGUUGUGUUAGUCUUUUGUUAAAUUCUUCGGCUUAACCGGGGGCAUGCGAAAGAAACGGCACAACUAGAGGAUGCGAGAGGUAUAUGGAACUCAUGGAGUAGGGGUGAAAUCCGUUGAUAUCAUGGGGAACACCAAAAGCGAAGGCAAUAUACUGGCGCACUCCUGACGCUGAAACACGAAAGCGUAGGUAGCGAAUGGGAUUAGAUACCCCAGUAGUCUACGCCCUAAACGAUGACAACUAGCUUUUCGGAGUAUCGACCCUCUGAGAGGCGAAGCUAACGCGUUAAGUUGUCCGCCUGGGUAGUACGGCCGCAAGGCUA
rnacentral:rRNA from 1 species